CACAACCUCUAUGGCUGAUACUGUUAUCUUUCUUUUACAGAUGAGAACUCAGAUGCUUAGACCGGAAAGUGAUGAGUCCAGGGGGGUUGUGGCUGCCCAUUGGCCAUCACAGAAGAUACAGAAGAGUCAGAAGAGAGGAGACUGGCAGAGCCCAUGGGCUAACUGUUACUCCAAGAAGCAGACAUCAUAUUGAAAGCUGAAUGAACCUUGACAUAAUUAAGGAAGAGCCACCAGUUUCCAGAUGCCAGCAUGAUGCCAACCAGACUUCCCUGGACAGAUGACCCCACCAAUGUGUCCUGGAGCUCCACUUCCCCAGAGCCCCACCCUACUAGGGAAAGAGAGAGGCAAACUGGGAGUAUGGAUCGACUAGUCAACGCCCAUGUUCAGCGGGGAAGCAAUUUCAGAAGCCAGACCUUCCACCUUCUGCAUUCCACAGUCACCU